AUGGCGUCGUCGCCGCCGCCGCCGCAGCAGCAGGUCAACCUCGUUGACGACGUCGUCGCAGAGAUCCUCCUCCGCCUCCCGCCGGACGAGCCCGAGCACCUCUUCCGCGCCGCCCUCGUCUGCAAGCCCUGGCUCCGCGUCAUCUGCGACCCUGCCUUCCGCCGCCGGUACCGCGCGUUCCACGGCGCCCCUCCGCUGCUCGGCCUCCUCCACAGGACCCAAGUCUGCGACGGAGACCCCGCCGCGCGCUUCGCCUCCACCACGUCGAUGCCCGACUUCCCCCACCCAGGCUCCGACGGCCGCCGCACGCGCCCUCUCGACUGCCGCCACGGCCGCGUCCUCAUCCACAUGCUGCAGGACCCAGAAGUGGAUUUGCUCGUCUGGGACCCCGUCAACGGCGACCGCCACGUGGUGCCCGAGCCGGACAUCGACUGGAUGAUCUACACCGCUGCGGUCUUCUGCGCCGCCGCCGGCUGCGACCAUCUCAACUGCCACGGCGGCCCCUUCCGCGUGGUCUUCCUGGCCACUGAUGACCACGAGGAAGUCGUCAAGGCGAGUGUGUACUCAUCUGUGACAGGUGCGUGGAGUGCGCCGGUAUCUCUCGACGAUAGCUGUGAAUGCUAUGCCCGGCACAAGCGGGAUGCAACUGCAAAAAGAAGGUACUACAUACCCUAUGUCCAGCCUAGGCGAGUAGCCGCAAUUGGAGAUGCAGUCUACUUCACACUUUCGCGGUCUAGUGCCAUUGCCAAGUAUGACUGCGGCAAGAAUCGCUUGUCUGUGAUUGACCCACCACCACCAGAUGCAGAAGCGUACAAUGGUUUCAUUGCCCUCAUGGUCAUGGAGGACAAUUCACUGGGGCUCGCUGGUGUUCAGGAUUUCAGUCUGCAUCUCUGGUCAAGGAAGGUGAAGGGAGCUGCAAAAUGGGUACAGUGCAUGGUCAUUGACCUGGAGAAAAUCAUGCCCAUGGCCAAACCCCUCAAAGGCAAUGGAGCAAGUGUGGUUGGUUUCGCAGAGGGUCUGUGUGUCAUCUUCGUCAGAACAGAGGGUGGCUUAUUCAGGAUCGAGCUCAAGUCCGGACUGGUGAAGAAGGUUGAUGAACCUGCGGUCUACUUUUCCGUCUUACCCUACAUGAGCUUCUACACUCCUGACCGUGGUAGAUUGUUAUCGCUGGCAAGGCUCACUGAUGCCUGA
rnacentral:rRNA from 1 species